rnacentral:rRNA from 1 species
UACGUAGGGCGCAAGCGUUGUCCGGAAUUAUUGGGCGUAAAGGGCUCGUAGGCGGUUUGUCGCGUCGGGAGUGAAAACCAGGUGCUUAACACCUGGCUUGCUUUCGAUACGGGCAGACUAGAGGUAGGUAGGGGAGAAUGGAAUUCCCGGUGUAGCGGUGAAAUGCGCAGAUAUCGGGAGGAACACCGGUGGCGAAGGCGGUUCUCUGGGCCUUACCUGACGCUGAGGAGCGAAAGCGUGGGGAGCGAACAGG